rnacentral:rRNA from 1 species
AUUGAACGCUGGCGGCAGGCUUAACACAUGCAAGUCGAGCGGUAGCACAGGGGAGCUUGCUCCCUGGGUGACGAGCGGCGGACGGGUGAGUAAUGUCUGGGAAACUGCCUGAUGGAGGGGGAUAACUCCUGGAAACGGUAGCUAAUACCGCAUAACUUCGCAAGACCAAAGAGGGGGACCUUCGGGCCUCUUGCCAUCAGAUGUGCCCAGAUGGGAUUAGCUAGUAGGUGGGGUAAUGGCUCACCUAGGCGACGAUCCCUAGCUGGUCUGAGAGGAUGACCAGCCACACUGGAACUGAGACACGGUCCAGACUCCUACGGGAGGCAGCAGUGGGGAAUAUUGCACAAUGGGCGCAAGCCUGAUGCAGCCAUGCCGCGUGUGUGAAGAAGGCCUUCGGGUUGUAAAGCACUUUCAGCGAGGAGGAAGGUGGUGAGCUUAAUACGUUCAUCAAUUGACGUUACUCGCAGAAGAAGCACCGGCUAACUCCGUG